GAUGAACGCUGGCGGCGUGCCUAAUACAUGCCAGUCGAGCGAACAGACGAGAAGCUUGCUCCUCUGACGUUAGCGGCGGACGGGUGAGUAACACGUGGAUAACCUACCUAUAAGACUGGGAUAACUUCGGGAAACCGGAGCUAAUACCGGAUAAUAUAUUGAACCGCAUGGUUCAAUAGUGAAAGACGGUUUUGCUGUCACUUAUAGAUGGAUCCGCGCCGCAUUAGCUAGUUGGUAAGGUAACGGCUUACCAAGGCAACGAUGCGUAGCCGACCUGAGAGGGUGAUCGGCCACACUGGAACUGAGACACGGUCCAGACUCCUACGGGAGGCAGCAGUAGGGAAUCUUCCGCAAUGGGCGAAAGCCUGACGGAGCAACGCCGCGUGAGUGAUGAAGGUCUUCGGAUCGUAAAACUCUGUUAUUAGGGAAGAACAAAUGUGUAAGUAACUAUGCACAUCUUGACGGUACCUAAUCAGAAAGCCACGGCUAACUACGUG
rnacentral:rRNA from 1 species